rnacentral:rRNA from 1 species
UACGAACCGUACAAACGUUAUUCGGAAUCACUGGGCUUAAAGGGUGCGUAGGCGGCCAUGUAAGUGAGGUGUGAAAUCCCUCGGCUCAACCGAGGAACUGCGCUUCAUACUGCAUGGCUUGAGGGAGACAGGGGGUAAGCGGAACUGAUGGUGGAGCGGUGAAAUGCGUUGAUAUCAUCAGGAACACCGGUGGCGAAAGCGGCUUACUGGGUCUCUUCUGACGCUGAGGUACGGAAAGCUAGGGUAGCGAACGGGG